CCACGAUCGAGAUUUGGUUCUAACUCGUUAAAGGUCUCAUCUUUCGAUUCGAUGUACAUCGAUCUGCUAGAGACUUCCUCGUGACCACAUCCAAUACAACGCAACUAGCUCUCGAUCUUCGAUAAGACAGCUCGAUCAGAGAUGUCUUAUCCAUUGGAGCUCGAUCAGAACUGUCUUAUCAGAGAUCGAGAGCUAACUAGUUGCGUUGGAUUGAAUGUGGUCACAUGGUAAAUCUUCAGCAUCCAAAAAUGAGAUUUUUAAACCGCUAGAUGGUGGUGGUGGCCUCGGCGGUGCCGGUGACGGUGGGAGUAACGGUGGAAACGUGGUUAUGUGGGUUUUUUCUUGCGAGAGACUAUAGCGAAGAAUAAGGCUCUUAAAGGUAUCAGCCAACAACUUUCGUGGUAAGAUGUCCAUGUCCACAACUAGUAUAUAACUCUACUAUCCACGUUUUGGUGUCCACAUCCACACUUAAUUUUGUUUACACGUUAAUAUAUAUAUAUAUGAAAAUAGAUCUUAAAAGAUAGAGAAUUUGGGAUAAUUCGCUGCUAUCUCCUUUAUUUAUCUAUCACAAAGACACUAGUGGCACGUUUUGAUUUAAAGGUAAACUUCUGAAGGAUUCUUGGUUUUAUUUUGUGGCGUUUCAAACAGACAAUGAAUCUCUUUUGAGUUUGAAAGAGGGGAACAGAUAGUUUUGUACAUUAUGGUUAGUUAAAAGCGUAUGAUUCAGAACAGAGGUUUUGGGGGAGUGGUGAACGGUAUUGCUGGCUGAGACAAAACGUGUAGGGGUGGUCAGGGACUGCGUUUUGCGGAGGUUGGUGUUUUAAAGAGGGAAACUGGUUCUCUGGAAAGACGCCAAGGAGAGGGAAGAUUUAGGGUUAAAGCAUGCUGGUGUGAUGAUCAUUAAUUAUUUGAUUGCUGAGAAAAAUUUUCUCAUUAUGAAAUCUCUAGCUGUUAUGGUUUGAUGCAGGAACCCUCCUUCGUAUAAAAUCAAACAAGUAUUAAAAGUUGAAUAUCAGCUUCAUUCAGCCUGUCCACGUCGGACAAGAAACCAAUACCAAGCUCAUCUCAGCAAUACCUAAUCUCCGAUGAAACCCAUAUCGUGGCGACUCUUCUUCGUCAUCAUCAUCGUUUGGAAUCACGAUAAUUCACCUUUAUUACAACCCAUUCUCUCCAUCAUUCAAUCCCGAUAAUUCGCUUUCGUUUCAACUCCCUUUGUUUAACCUUCUAUAUAAAUCAUAUUCUAUAAAAUUUUUGAUUAAAGCAAACUACUCUUCAAAGAGGGAAUAUAGAGAUUCAUACGUUGGUGAUGACCAACCACUGAAUACCAUAGCCGACGAAACCCGGGUUGGCUAAGACUGGUGGUGAGGAAUCGGCGGGAAAAAGUCAGCUCCCGUCGCCUUUUACUUCAACAACGUCUCAUCAGUGUUUAGAGAGAUAGUUAUUUGCUUAGAGAUGCUCCUCAUCGACGACAGAUAAGCAGAUACCUCAUGGAGCAAAACGCUUGCGUUCUUCGUCGACAGGAAGGUCAUCAUCAUCAGUGUUCGGUAGAUCUAUAGCUCCGAAUGCAUCUCCGGUUUGGAUGCCACCUAAGGCGUCGUUGAAACCUCCACUUGAUCAUCCCUAUAAUACAGAGAUAACAAAUGAAAGAAAAAAGAUACUAACUAUGAUGUUGUGCUUGAUUCAUUAAAAUUUAAUGUUUUUUUUUUGGUUCAGAUACUAUGGUGAUUUACCAUUGGUUCGUUCGAGAAAUAAAGGGUAUCAGCGGGAAGCUUCAGCUGUUCGUGAUGAACUGGAUAUGUUGCAAGAGGAGAAUGAGACUGUAUUGGACAAGGUUCAAUGUCUUUGUCACUUUUUACAUAAAUACUAAGCUAUUCUCCUCUGUCAUUCGUAAUAAUUGUUCUGGAGGCAGCGGAAGCCAGGGCUAGGGAGCUGGAGAAACAGAACCAAAAGAAUAGAUGAGGUUGGACUAUCUCUCCGAGGAGCUGAUUUCAGAUAACCGUCUAUCUCCAAAAUCAUGGUGUGCUGUUGGGAACUGCUAUAGUUUGCGUAAAGAUCAUAAAUCUAUUCUUAAGAUGUUUCAGAAAGCUAUUCUACUGAAUGAAAUAUCGAGAUAUGCACAUAUGCUUUAUGGUCACGAGUACAAUUCUUUUCUAUUUCCCUCUCUGUUAUUAGUCAUAUCCACAUUAACAAAUCAAACCCAAGACUGUCCCUUCUCAUUUGUAUUUAUGUUCCCAUGUAGCGGUUUAGUAGAGGCCAGUAUAUCCAUCUUCUAGGCUGGGAAAAGACGGGGACAAACUGGAAGCUGAAGUGACGAAACAUGUUCCUCUUUUAGCUCCAGAGAUUUUGCUUUGCUUUACUUUAUAUUGUUUCUAACUAUCGAUUUUUUAAUUACAAGGUAAGGAUGAAAAGCUAGAUGGACAUGCAUGUAUAUAUGAGCUGUGAGCAAGUUUUCCUGUGAUAUAUUCCAGAGGACGUGACGCAAACUAUGAACAAAUAAAUCAUUUGUGAGGUGAUGAGGCUCUUUUUUUAUCUUCUUUUUAACAA